rnacentral:rRNA from 1 species
GACGAACGCUGGCGGCGCGCCUAACACAUGCAAGUCGAACGGAGCUUAGAGAGCUUGCUUUUUAAGCUUAGUGGCGAACGGGUGAGUAACGCGUGAGUAACCUGCCCUAGAGUGGGGGACAACAGUUGGAAACGACUGCUAAUACCGCAUAAGCCCACGGUACCGCAUGGUACUGAGGGAAAAGGAUUUAUUCGCUUUAGGAUGGACUCGCGUCCAAUUAGCUAGUUGGUGAGGUAACGGCCCACCAAGGCGACGAUUGGUAGCCGGACUGAGAGGUUGAACGGCCACAUUGGGACUGAGACACGGCCCAGACUCCUACGGGAGGCAGCAGUGGGGGAUAUUGCACAAUGGGGGAAACCCUGAUGCAGCGACGCCGCGUGGAGGAAGAAGGUUUUCGGAUUGUAAACUCCUGUCGUUAGGGACG